rnacentral:rRNA from 1 species
UACAGAGGGGCAAGGCGUUGUUCGGAAUUACUGGGCGUAAAGCGCAACGUAGGCGGCGAUUCAAGUCAGAGGUGAAAGCCCGGGGCUCAACCCCGGAACUGCCUUUGAAACUGAGUUGCUAGAAUCCUGGAGAGGUGAGUGGAAUUCCGGAGUGUAGAGGUGAAAUUCGUAGAUAUUCGGAGGAACACCAGUGGCGAAGGCGACUCACUGGACAGGUAUUGACGCUGAGGUGCGAAAGCGUGGGGAGCAAACAGGGAUUAAG